UACGGAGGGGGCUAGCGUUGUUCGGAAUUACUGGGCGUAAAGGGCGCGUAGGCGGCCGAUCAAGUCAGAUGUGAAAGUCCUGGGCUUAACCUGGGGACUGCAUUUGAUACUGAUUGGCUUGAAUUCGGGAGAGGAUAGCGGAAUUCCCAGUGUAGAGGUGAAAUUCGUAGAUAUUGGGAAGAACACCGGUGGCGAAGGCGGCUAUCUGGACCGACAUUGACGCUGAGGCGCGAAAGCGUGGGGAGCAAACAGG
rnacentral:rRNA from 1 species